rnacentral:rRNA from 1 species
UGGGGAAUUUUUGACAAUGGGGGAAACCCUGAUCCAGCCAUCCCGCGUGUGCGAUGAAGGCCUUCGGGUUGUAAAGCACUUUUGGCAGGAAAGAAACGUCAUGGGUUAAUACCCCGUGAAACUGACGGUACCUGCAGAAUAAGCACCGGCUAACUACGUGCCAGCAGCCGCGGUAAUACGUAGGGUGCAAGCGUUAAUCGGAAUUACUGGGCGUAAAGCGUGCGCAGGCGGUUCGGAAAGAAAGAUGUGAAAUCCCAGAGCUCAACUUUGGAACUGCAUUUUUAACUACCGGGCUAGAGUGUGUCAGAGGGAGGUGGAAUUACGCGUGUAGCAGUGAAAUGCGUAGAUAUGCGGAGGAACACCGAUGGCGAAGGCAGCCUCCUGGGAUAACACUGACGCUCAUGCACGAAAGCGUGGGGAGCAAACAAG